GGUGGAAUUGCAAUUGGCCAGCCAAAGGGACCUAGCACUACUUUGUCUAAGAAUUUAUCAUGGAGAGGACCAGCAAAAGAGGUUGUGAAGAAACUACAUGCAUUAUCAUGAGGAAAUAUAUUAAAGGAAGAAAAACAAAAGAAGAAUAAAAUGAUCAAUAAAGCAGCUCAUCAAAGUUCCAAACUAGAGUCAGAAUUCUAAUUUGCAUUAAGC
rnacentral:lncRNA from 1 species